UCAAGCCUUCGCAUUUCCCCUCCUCUGCCCUUUCUUUCUAUGACGGGAAAUGGUCCCAGAGACCCUCUAAAGAUGGGAGUUGGGUCUCGAAUGGACCAAGAGCAAGCUGCUCUUGCUGCAGUUGCUCCCUCUCCAACCAGUGCUCCAAAGAGAUGGCCAGGAACUUCUGUGUGGCCAUCUUCACAGGAGCCCUUUCUCUUAGAGGGGCAAGUACCCUUCCUUACAACUUUUAUUUGAAGAAUGUAUGAAUCAACAGUUAUUGUUGACAAAAAUGUUACUGGAAUUGAAAACUUGACUCUUUUUUUAAAAAUUUAGUUACUACUUGCCCCUCUUAGGGAAGCUGUGUGCCAAAGAACCAGUGUCGCCCCCCUGCUGAGCUGACGUUGCAUUGUCGCAUAUCCCAGCUACUCUGUGGGCUCGUGAAGCUGUGUGUGAAGUCUCUACCUCAUUGUUGUACAUGCAGGCAAGACUGCACUCUGUACAGAUUGUGGAGUAAGCUGUGGUGUACUUUUUUUGGCACAUAAUAAACACGUUGCAGCAG
rnacentral:lncRNA from 1 species